AGCGUACACGGUGGAUGCCCUGGCAGUCAGAGGCGAUGAAGGACGUGCUAAUCUGCGAAAAGCGUCGGUAAGGUGAUAUGAACCGUUAUAACCGGCGAUGUCCGAAUGGGGAAACCCAGUGUGUUUCGGUGCACUAUCGUUAAGUGAAUACAUAGCUUAACGAAGCUAACCGGGGGAACUGAAACAUCUAAGUACCCCGAGGAAAAGAAAUCAACCGAGAUUCCCCCAGUAGCGGCGAGCGAACGGGGAGCAGCCCAGAGUCUGAAUCAGCUUGUGUGUUAGUGGAACGGUCUGGAAAGUCCGACGGUACAGGGUGAUAGUCCCGUACACCAAAAUGCACAGGCUGUGAACUCGAAGAGUAGGGCGGGACACGUGGUAUCCUGUCUGAAUAUGGGGGGACCAUCCUCCAAGGCUAAAUACUCCUGACUGACCGAUAGUGAACCAGUACCGUGAGGGAAAGGCGAAAAGAACCCCGGCGAGGGGAGUGAAAAAGAACCUGAAACCGUGUACGUACAAGCAGUGGGAGCACCUUCGGGUGUGACUGCGUACCUUUUGUAUAAUGGGUCAGCGACUUAUAUUCUGUAGCAAGGUUAACCGUAUAGGGGAGCCGCAGGGAAACCGAGUCUUAACUGGGCGUUAAGUUGCAGGGUAUAGACCCGAAACCCGGUGAUCUAGCCAUGGGCAGGUUGAAGGUUGGGUAACACUAACUGGAGGACCGAACCGACUAAUGUUGAAAAAUUAGCGGAUGACUUGUGGCUGGGGGUGAAAGGCCAAUCAAACCGGGAGAUAGCUGGUUCUCCCCGAAAGCUAUUUAGGUAGCGCCUCGUGAAUUCAUCUUCGGGGGUAGAGCACUGUUUCGGCUAGGGGGUCAUCCCGACUUACCAACCCGAUGCAAACUACGAAUACCGAAGAAUGUUAUCACGGGAGACACACGGCGGGUGCUAACGUCCGUCGUGAAGAGGGAAACAACCCAGACCGCCAGCUAAGGUCCCAAAGUCAUGGUUAAGUGGGAAACGAUGUGGGAAGGCACAGACAGCCAGGAUGUUGGCUUAGAAGCAGCCAUCAUUUAAAGAAAGCGUAAUAGCUCACUGGUCGAGUCGGCCUGCGCGGAAGAUGUAACGGGGCUAAACCAUGCACCGAAGCUGCGGCAGCGACACUAUGUGUUGUUGGGUAGGGGAGCGUUCUGUAAGCCUGCGAAGGUGUGCUGUGAGGCAUGCUGGAGGUAUCAGAAGUGCGAAUGCUGACAUAAGUAACGAUAAAGCGGGUGAAAAGCCCGCUCGCCGGAAGACCAAGGGUUCCUGUCCAACGUUAAUCGGGGCAGGGUGAGUCGACCCCUAAGGCGAGGCCGAAAGGCGUAGUCGAUGGGAAACAGGUUAAUAUUCCUGUACUUGGUGUUACUGCGAAGGGGGGACGGAGAAGGCUAUGUUAGCCGGGCGACGGUUGUCCCGGUUUAAGCAUGUAGGCUGGUUGUCCAGGCAAAUCCGGAUAAUCAAGGCUGAGGUGUGAUGACGAGGCACUACGGUGCUGAAGUAACAAAUGCCCUGCUUCCAGGAAAAGCCUCUAAGCAUCAGGUAACAUCAAAUCGUACCCCAAACCGACACAGGUGGUCAGGUAGAGAAUACCAAGGCGCUUGAGAGAACUCGGGUGAAGGAACUAGGCAAAAUGGUGCCGUAACUUCGGGAGAAGGCACGCUGAUAUGUAGGUGAAGCGACUUGCUCGUGGAGCUGAAAUCAGUCGAAGAUACCAGCUGGCUGCAACUGUUUAUUAAAAACACAGCACUGUGCAAACACGAAAGUGGACGUAUACGGUGUGACGCCUGCCCGGUGCCGGAAGGUUAAUUGAUGGGGUUAUCCGUAAGGAGAAGCUCUUGAUCGAAGCCCCGGUAAACGGCGGCCGUAACUAUAACGGUCCUAAGGUAGCGAAAUUCCUUGUCGGGUAAGUUCCGACCUGCACGAAUGGCGUAAUGAUGGCCAGGCUGUCUCCACCCGAGACUCAGUGAAAUUGAACUCGCUGUGAAGAUGCAGUGUACCCGCGGCAAGACGGAAAGACCCCGUGAACCUUUACUAUAGCUUGACACUGAACAUUGAGCCUUGAUGUGUAGGAUAGGUGGGAGGCUUUGAAGCGUGGACGCCAGUCUGCGUGGAGCCAACCUUGAAAUACCACCCUUUAAUGUUUGAUGUUCUAACGUUGGCCCCUGACCGGGGUUGCGGACAGUGUCUGGUGGGUAGUUUGACUGGGGCGGUCUCCUCCCAAAGCGUAACGGAGGAGCACGAAGGUUAGCUAAUCCUGGUCGGACAUCAGGAGGUUAGUGCAAUGGCAUAAGCUAGCUUGACUGCGAGCGUGACGGCGCGAGCAGGUGCGAAAGCAGGUCAUAGUGAUCCGGUGGUUCUGAAUGGAAGGGCCAUCGCUCAACGGAUAAAAGGUACUCCGGGGAUAACAGGCUGAUACCGCCCAAGAGUUCAUAUCGACGGCGGUGUUUGGCACCUCGAUGUCGGCUCAUCACAUCCUGGGGCUGAAGUAGGUCCCAAGGGUAUGGCUGUUCGCCAUUUAAAGUGGUACGCGAGCUGGGUUUAGAACGUCGUGAGACAGUUCGGUCCCUAUCUGCCGUGGGCGCUGGAGAAUUGAGGGGGGCUGCUCCUAGUACGAGAGGACCGGAGUGGACGCAUCACUGGUGUUCGGGUUGUCAUGCCAAUGGCACUGCCCGGUAGCUAAAUGCGGAAGAGAUAAGUGCUGAAAGCAUCUAAGCACGAAACUUGCCCCGAGAUGAGUUCU
rnacentral:rRNA from 1 species